CCUCUCCAUGGCCUCUAUG
rnacentral:misc_RNA from 1 species